rnacentral:lncRNA from 7 species
GUAAAAAGUGGUGACCGAAAGGGUAUCGUGGGUUAUCAUCCGUCCGAUCAAAAACAUACGCGCCAUAUAUGAUCUUGAUCGACUACCGUAAGAGGCCACCGGAUCCAGAUCCGACGGCCCAGAUUUAAAGUCGCUCACAACAAUUCUUCCGCGUUUGAUCUGGAUCGGACGAUCCGGAUUGGUUCGGCCGAAUCGAUACGUGUGAACAAAU